CCUACGGGAGGCAGCAGUGAGGAAUAUUGGUCAAUGGGCGGAAGCCUGAACCAGCCAAGUAGCGUGCGGGAUGAAGGCCCUACGGGUCGUAAACCGCUUUUGCACGGGGAUAACACCCUCCACUUGUGGAGGUCUGCAGGUACCGUGCGAAUAAGGGCCGGCUAAUUCCGUGCCAGCAGCCGCGGUAAUACGGAAGGCCCGAGCGUUAUCCGGGUUCAUUGGGCUUAAAGGGAGCGUCGGCGGGCGUUCAAGUCAGCUGUAAAAGCGCGCGGCUCAACCGCGCCCCGCAGUUGAAACUGGACGCCUUGAGUUCACAACAGGCAGGCGGAAUUCGUGGUGUAGCGGUGAAAUGCAUAGAUAUCACGAGGAACCCCGAUUGCGAAGGCAGCCUGCCGGGGUGCGACUGACGCUGAGGCUCGAAGGUGCGGGUAUCAAACAGGAUUAGAUACCCUAGUAGUC
rnacentral:rRNA from 1 species